UCCAGUUUGUAGUCUUUGGGGAUUGGCUUAUUUCCCUUAGGAAUAUGCAUUUUCAGAUGAAGAACAAAACCAGAGAAAGGCCCCAGAGCCACCCUGGAGUGUGGGGUGGAAAACACCAAGAGGCCUGUUUUUCCAGACCUUCUUUGAAGAGCUUCAUCUUCAGAACUGGCAAGGACCUCCAGGACAGUGUUGAAUAGAAGUGUCAAAAGAGGCAUCUCCCUCACUGCCAGGCUCAGAGGGAAAGUUUUCAGUAUUCCGUAUUAUCUGCGAUAUUGGGUGAAUACUGCUCUUUUCCUUUGUAGAUACCUUUUAUCAGAUUAUGGACAUUCCCUUUUAUUUCUAAUUUGCCAAGAAUUUUUAAAUUAUAAAUGUUUGCUAAAUUUGAUUGCAUUCCUUUUAUUGCACAUUUGAGAUGAUGCUGUGGCUUUUUCCUUUAUUCUACUAAUAGGUUGAAUUAUAUUCAUUGAUUUUCAAAUGUUAAACCAGCCUUGCCUUCCUGGUGUACAUCUAAUUUGGUUGCCAUGUACUUUCUUUUUCUAUGUUGUUACAUUCAGGUUCUUUUUUGGUGUCUAUGUUUUAAAGAGACAUUGACCUGUAAUUUUUCUUUUUGUAAUAUUCUCACCAGAUGUUUAGUGUAAUGGCUGUGCUGGCCUUAUAAGCACACAUUAAGAAGUUUUCUUGGCUGGGCGCAGUGGCUCAUGCCUGUAAUCCCAGCAUUUUGGGAGGUGGGCAGAUCACCUGAGGUCAGGAGUUUGAGACCAGCCUGGCCAACAUGGUGAAACCCCGUCUCUACUAAAAAUACAAAAAAAUUAGGUGGGUAUGGCGGGCGCCUGUAAUUUCAACUACUUGGGAGGCUGAGGCAGGAGAAUGGCUUGAACUUGGGAGGUGGAGGUUUCAGUAAGCCGAGAUCAUGCCAUUGCACUCCAGCCUGGGCAACAACAGCAAAACUUCAUCACAGCAAAACUCCAUCUCAACAACAACAAAACAACAACAACAACAAGAAAAAAGGAGUUUUCUCUCUUCUUCUGUUCCUGGAAGAGUUUUAUUGUAAGUUUAGUGUUGUUUCUUUUUUAAAUGUUUGGUAGAAUUCAUUAAAAAAGCCAUCAAGGCCUGGAGCUUUCUCUGUGCUGAGUUGAAAUUACAAAGUCAGUUUAUUUAACAAUGUACUAUAUAAGCCAGAAAUUAUUGUCGAUAUCUGUCAUAGACAAAAAGAUUGCCCUAUGUGUACUGUGAAUUAUGCAGGGAUAUUAAUUGCUGUGUAUUUUUUUGAACAGUGAAAAAUUGGAAACAACCUAAGUAUUUACGACAAGGAACAACCCCAGCAUAUUUUUUAUUAAAUAAAGUAAUUUUCAGAGCAAUGUGUUUAGUCUGAAUGUAUUGAAAACACGUAGCACCGAGCCCCAGCACGGUGCUGUUUAUUUUCUAAUCCUGUUGGUUUCUGUGUGUGAGUGUGGAG
rnacentral:lncRNA from 10 species